rnacentral:rRNA from 1 species
UACAGGGGGGGCAAGCGUUGUUCGGAAUUACUGGGCGUAAAGGGCCAGUAGGCGGCCAACUAAGUCACACGUGAAAUCCCCAGGCUUAACCUGGGAACUGCGUGUGAUACUGGAUGGCUUGAAUUCGGGAGAGGGAUGCAGAAUUCCAGGUGUAGCGGUGAAAUGCGUAGAUAUCUGGAGGAAUACCGGUGGCGAAGGCGGCAUCCUGGACCGAGAUUGACGCUGAGGCGCGAAAGCUAGGGGAGCAAACGGGG